rnacentral:sRNA from 1 species
GUCAACUACCCACCACUUAACCCUUUAACCAUUAACAGGUUUUGAAGUGGGGGCUUGUAAGAGCUCUAGUUGUCUAGCCUCUGUCUUCCAGUACAUGAUCAUUCAUGGUGAGUAGACGACGUUGGGACCACAUUCGGUGGGCUUGCAUGUUUUUAUGCAGGUGCGAAUACGGUUUGGUAUGAUUCCCUAGUACCUCGAUCGUUCAGGCUCUGUAAAAGCUCUGAUUGGGAAGGAGCGGUCAACCUGGUGCAAGAAGCGAACCAACUUUGGCGAAGGGAAACCACCUCGAAGGAGG